rnacentral:tRNA from 1 species
CGGAGUAUGGCGCAGCCCGGGAGCGCAACUGCUUUGGGAGCAGAAGGUCCGAGGUUCAAAUCCUCGUACUCCGACCA